rnacentral:rRNA from 1 species
CUGCCGUCUACUCUUGGACAGCCUUCUGAAAGGAAGAUUAAUACAAGAUGGCAUCAUGAGUCCGCAUGUUCACAUGAUUAAAGGUAUUCCGGUAGACGAUGGGGAUGCGUUCCAUUAGAUAGUAGGCGGGGUAACGGCCCACCUAGUCUUCGAUGGAUAGGGGUUCUGAGAGGAAGGUCCCCCACAUUGGAACUGAGACACGGUCCAAACUCCUACGGGAGGCAGCAGUGAGGAAUAUUGGUCAAUGGGCGAGAGCCUGAACCAGCCAAGUAGCGUGAAGGAUGACUGCCCUAUGGGUUGUAAACUUCUUUUAUAAAGGAAUAAAGUCGGGUAUGGAUACCCGUUUGCAUGUACUUUAUGAAUAAGGAUCGGCUAACUCCGUGCCAGCAGCCGCGGUAAUACGGAGGAUCCGAGCGUUAUCCGGAUUUAUUGGGUUUAAAGGGAGCGUAGAUGGAUGUUUAAGUCAGUUGUGAAAGUUUGCGGCUCAACCGUAAAAUUGCAGUUGAUACUGGAUAUCUUGAGUGCAGUUGAGGCAGGCGGAAUUCGUGGUGUAGCGGUGAAAUGCUUAGAUAUCACGAAGAACUCCGAUUGCGAAGGCAGCCUGCUAAGCUGCAACUGACAUUG